GUCGAAUUCCCCCCCAUGCACUUCUCUUAUAGAGCGCUCGGCAAAGAGGGCGGCGCGUGCCCUCUCUAUAAGGCUCAUCGCGCGCUGGCUUGCGUGGCUCUUAAAAGAGGGCAUUGCACGGCCGUGCCAUGGCCUCUUUUGUUGGCCUUGGUGUCGAACGGCAAUGCGGCGGCAAUAGGGCUCCUUCGUGGCCGGCCCCCUGUCUUGUCCCUUGUUCCCCUGGGGCAGCCGGCUAUCGACAAAGCAGGUCCGAAAUUUCUGUCGCAAAAAGUUCAAAAACUUUGGUUUGGUGUGUUGACAGUUUGGAUUGGUGGCGACUAUUCCGGGAAGCGGUGAAAUAGUGAUGAAGGCCCUAGGGUUGUAAAGCUCUUUCAACGGUGAAGAUAAUGACGGUAACCGUAGAAGAAGCCCCGGCUAACUUCGUGCCAGCAGCCGCGGUAAUACGAAGGGGGCUAGCGUUGUUCGGAAUUACUGGGCGUAAAGCGCACGUAGGCGGAUACUUAAGUCAGGGGUGAAAUCCCGGGGCUCAACCCCGGAACUGCCUUUGAUACUGGGUAUCUCGAGUCCGGAAGAGGUGAGUGGAAUUCCGAGUGUAGAGGUGAAAUUCGUAGAUAUUCGGAGGAACACCAGUGGCGAAGGCGGCUCACUGGUCCGGUACUGACGCUGAGGUGCGAAAGCGUGGGGAGCAAACAGGAUUAGAUACCCUGGUAAAAACUUUGGUUUGGUGUGUUGACAGUUUGGAUUGGUGGCGACUAUAUACGCCUCACGAACGAGGGCGGUGCGCCGCUGGCGACGAAGAAGUUUGCUUCUAAGACUGCCCUCAGCGAAAUUCAAGAGAGCCGCGUGAGCGACACUCGAACGGCCCCGAAGCCACAAGCGUAACGGGCCACGAUACUGCGUGAAGCGGUGUCUGUUCUUUGAAAAUUGAAUAAUGAAGAAAGAGAAACGUGGGCGGCAGAGUCCUGCUGAACCUCUUACUCCGCCAGGGGUAAUUGGUUCGAACGAGACUUUGGCGGAUCACGUUUCGUGAGAAUAAGUCUACCAAGGCAUUAAGUUGCCUAGGUGUGAAUGUUCUCGUCGAUUCAUGCGUGACCAAAUAAAGCCAAAUCAAAGUCUUCUAAACUUGAGAGUUUGAUCCUGGCUCAGAACGAACGCUGGCGGCAGGCUUAACACAUGCAAGUCGAGCGCCUCGCAAGAGGAGCGGCAGACGGGUGAGUAACGCGUGGGAAUCUACCCAUCUCUACGGAACAACUCCGGGAAACUGGAGCUAAUACCGUAUACGUCCUUCGGGAGAAAGAUUUAUCGGAGAUGGAUGAGCCCGCGUUGGAUUAGCUAGUUGGUGGGGUAAUGGCCUACCAAGGCGACGAUCCAUAGCUGGUCUGAGAGGAUGAUCAGCCACACUGGGACUGAGACACGGCCCAGACUCCUACGGGAGGCAGCAGUGGGGAAUAUUGGACAAUG
rnacentral:rRNA from 1 species